CUUUAAUAAAAAUAUAAAAUUUUUUGAACCAACCGUUUUGUCAGAAAAAUUACACUGGUUAUAUAACAAUUUGACAAACACCAUUUUUGAUCAUUGAGAAGUUUAAUAUUCCUUUUACAACACAACGUAAUUAAAACGUGUAGCUGACUUUACAGAGUUAUCUCCCUGUAGUGUAAGGUUCCACCUUAAUCCACGAAAACUGCUACCCACGAAAAUAAAUGAAUCCCCAGAACAUAUACAUUAAUAACUAAAUGUGCCUCUUUAUAUCUUUAUUAUUUCAUAUUUUAUACAAUGACAACAGUGAUUGUUCUAUGCAAUACAAUGUAAUGCAAGGUUUGCAACUAAGGUCAGCUGUUCAUCAAAAAUACAUCACCAAGUUCUAACUCUUAAGUCAAUUCCUAGGUUUUCAUUCCAUCAUUUAAAAAAAAAUCAAGGAGUCAAAGAACUGUCUUGACUAGUCAUUAUGCUAAAAACUAUGAGUUCAAGGUCUAUAAUUCAAUAUUUAUUAUCUAGAUUUAUUUUUAAGGUGGUACCUAACACUACAGGGAGAUAACUCUGUAAAAUCAGCUUAACGUUUUAAUUACGUUGUGUUGUAAAGGGAAUAUUAAGCUUCUCAAUGAUCAAAAUUAGUGUUUGUCAAACUACUAUAUAACCAGUGUAAUUUUUCUGACAAAAUGGUUGGUUCAAAAUUUUCAAAAUUUUUAUGUUUUUGUUAAAGGGUCAAAGUAAAUACUUUGUCAAAAUUUUAUGAAAAUUAAACGAGCCAAAUUUAUUUUAGUGAAAGUGUUGGGUACCACCUUAAAUUCAAUUAUCUAGACUAUAGGCAAUUGUAUGUUUUGCAUAUACUAAAGACAAAUAUACAACAUUAAAAGUCUAUUUCAUUUUAGUUUUAUUUUUGUAGUAUAUAUGAUUCUUUUUUCUCAAAAGAAAAAAAUUGAAGACCUGAUAUAUUAGCUAUAAAUAGAAAUGAAAAAUCAACCAAAUAACUGAAAUGUUAGAAAUGAAAAUCUAGGAACAUCAUCCAAGGUUUUGCUUUGUUGAAAAAGAGCAAGCUGAAUUGCAUCGCAUAGCUGUAAAUUAUAUACAUAUUAUAAGCACUUACUGAGCUUGUCAGCUUAACAUUGUGUAUUGCUGACCUACUAAACUGACCUAGUUAGACCACAUGAUAAACUAAACUUAUUAGCUCACCAGGUAAACUUACAUAAAUUAGCUCACCUAGUAGACUAAUCUAAUCAGAUCAAAGUAGGACAGGUAAAAUUAAUUUUUGUGCUCAAAGCAGACAAGAUUAUUCUCUAUAACAGAAUCAACUGGUAUAAAAACAUUUUAAUCAUGAAAUAGUCCAAUUUAAUACUAUUUGCAAAGGAAAGGAUGAGCUGUAUCCCUGCCCAUUCAAAGCAAGUGGAAAGAAUCUGGUGUAUUAUACAGGAUCUGACAAUAAAUGUUUAACUGCAUCAGCAAUUGACACAUCAUGGAAAAAUUGGAUUGCAAAAUAGGUGAUUAUGUCAUGAAAAUACAUAAAAAUCUUGUGUAAAUCAAAACAUGCUUUUUUUCUAUACAGUUUGUAAAGACAGAGAUAUAGUUUGUCAUUUUGGGGUUGUUUCCCUUUGCAAAAUACUCUUAAAUAGGAUUCAUUAAGAAAAGGUAAGCAAACAAUGAGAGAACAAUGGACAACUAAUACCUAGAGAAGACAAAAAAUCCCAUGGUCUUUGACCAGGAAAGCUGUAAUUUUAUUUAACAGUUUGAAUUAUAAAUAAUUUUGAGAUUGUGGAUGGGGGUUUACAGAAUAGACAAAAAAUAUACAGAAUAGAAAAAAAUGGCCUAUUUUUUUAUAGUCAACAACCCUAAAUUUUGAGUUGUGUUACUACUAUGGCACAUAAUUUUGUUGGUUUUCUAUGAAAAGUAUGUACUCUUGUAAGAAUAAUACAGGUAAUAUCAAAUAUUCAUAUACAUAUAAUAAUUUUGCAUGUAACAAAAAUUUUAAGCAUAAGCGCUAGCAAAAUAUCUUAAUAAAAAGAAAUUUACAUUAUAAUACAUUUCAAUAACUAAUUUAAAUACUGACCAUGAAUACACAUUAAAUAAUGCAUAUUCAGAAUUUAAGGUGUGCAGAUUUUACAUAACUAGGAAAGGUAACAUCAUUGCACAAUGAUAACAGCACCUGAAGAUUAUAUCAAUGCCUGAUUUGUGAGGCCUCUCAUGUGGGUGUCCAAAUAAUUACUUUUUAAACCAUUUUAAUCACAUAAUCUUUAAUUAUUUUUUUAAACAAGAUAAUCAAAUAAUCAAAAAUACAGUCCUAGAUUAUCAAUUAAUCAUGAAAUAUUUUGUCUGGUAACCAAAUAAUUACUAUAAAAAUGGCCAAGUAAUCAUUUAAUCAAAUACCCCUUGAGGAGGGUCAUCCGCUUUUGUCCCUCAAGGACUUUCUUAAGGUGGUACCCAACACUUUCACUAAAAUCAAUUUGGCUCGUUUAAUUCUCAUAAAGUUUUGUCAAGGUAUUUACUUUGACCCUUUAACAAAAAUAUAAAAAAUUCAAAAAAUUUGAAACAACCAUUUUAUCAGAAAAAUUACACAGGUUAUAGGAAUAGGAUCCCAGUUAGGGCAACCAGUCCGGUACCCACGAAUGUAGUUCUUAAAAAAAAUAUAUAACUUUUGUUAUAAAUUGUGUAGUGUUAUUAUUUCACUAGUUCUGUAACUGAAUGUAGUUUUAUUUGAAAGGGUAGGCUUUCUAGUUUGAAUUUCUGUAAAAAUUUUGAUUGAUUUAAAUGUAAUCUGGCGUCAGUACAUAGAGUAAAUUGCCUAAAUUCUAGCCUUUAUUCUUUCCCGGAAGUAGACAGACUGACCCUGUUGUCAAUAAAAACAAAAUUUUGCAACGGAAUGCCGGUCAUGAGGCACUGAGAUUGCACUUAGACACUUCUAAAUGAAUGCCUAACAUGAACCAGAAGUCCCAAGGUGGCUAUCAAAAUUAUUUAUUGAACAGGACCCUAUGUAUUUACUAUGAUUUUCAAUGCGUUCCAAUGGGGCAAAUAAUUGGGUCCCCGUUCCUGUCAGAGAGCAUGUUUUGAACAUUUUAAUCUGCAAUUGUCAGCUCAUUUUUAAAGUUUCAUGGAUGAAAUUUGGCUACAGGCUUCAAAAUUUAAUAAGGAAAACAAUGGUGUAAUUAUUUUUAAAAUUUGAAUUAAACUUUUUAAAUUAAAUUGAAAUUUAAAUUUAUGAAAUUUAAAAAAGUUUGUUUUUCAAUUUAAAGUUUAAAAGGGGGUCACAGAAAGGUCAUAGUUGUCUGUAAUAUGUAUUCCUACACUUGCAAGUUAAAAUGGAGGGAUUUUUGAAAAAUAUCAGCAAAUAGUAUUAGAAAAAGUCACAGGGAAAGAAAUAAUAAAUGUGUUAUAUGGGAUCAGGGGACAGUGAAAGAUGGAAAAUAUGGGCUUAUUUCUUUCUAAUAUCUUAUUUCUGGGACCUGGAAACAGAAAAUAAACCCAUAGUUUCAGUUUUAGGUUUUUAAUAAGUUUUUGAUAAAUUGUGGCUAUUAAAUAAAUCAUUUAAGUGCCACGGUUCAGUUAUGAAAGUUGUGUGCGAAUCCAGCUAACAUUUAUUUAGAGCCGCAUCACAUACAUAGCCACAUAUUAUUGUGUGAACUCAGAAACACUUGCCAGGGGCUCUCUAAUUUUACAUUUUUUGGAAGAUAUUUAAGGGGUAGGGCUAUAAUAUAGCUUAUACAAGCAAUUUAAACUCAAUGUACAACAAUUUAAGACUCCCUUUUAAAGAUUUUGAUGGUCCUUAAAAGGACCGUUAAUUUUAUCUGUAUCUAUUUCAGCAGUAAAUGAAUAGAGCUAUAUCUUCCUUGGUUUUGGAACUUUUGGAGAUCUGCUUCUGGUUAAGGAAACACUUAGUGCUCUUUUAAUAGUUUCACUGUUUGAAUUUCAUUUUAAUUAAUGCUUCUUUCCUAAGUUUCAUUUUUAAAAGUUCCUGCAUUAUUAACUUGUCUUUGUUAUCUAUAUUCAGGUUGGUGAACUUGGACUAAAGUACAUGGAUCCCAGCCACCAACAGUUUCAGUGUCCAAGAGAACACACAUAUGAACUAGUGGGACAUUUAGAGCAGUCAAAAGUACAACAACGCACAGUAGCGUUAGGCGGUCAGGAAGAUCAAGGAUUUCCCUUCACAUCUGUUAAACUAUAGGAGGUGCUGUUUGACUGGUUUUAGCUACAAGUGAGAACUUCUCUGCAUCUAGCCUCUUAUAUUGUAUUUUAAAUGAACUUAGCAGACUAUUUGAAGACUUUGUCUCAUAUUUUAUACCAUUGUUUAUGGGGUAUGCUUGUUUUGCAUAUGUAAUUCUUUAAAACAGAAGA
rnacentral:lncRNA from 1 species